GGGUUGUGAGGUUAAGCGACUAAGCGUACACGGUGGAUGCCCUGGCAGUCAGAGGCGAUGAAGGACGUGCUAAUCUGCGAAAAGCGCCGGCGAGGUGAUAUGAACCUUUGACCCGGCGAUGUCCGAAUGGGGAAACCCAGUGCAAUUCGUUGCACUAUCGUUAACUGAAUACAUAGGUUAACGAGGGCGAACCGGGGAACUGAAACAUCUAAGUACCCCGAGGAAAAGAAAUCAACCGAGAUUCCCCCAGUAGCGGCGAGCGAACGGGGAGCAGCCCAGAGUCUGAAUCAGCUUGUGUGUUAGUGGAAGCGUCUGGAAAGUCGCACGGUACAGGGUGACAGUCCCGUACACGAAAAUGCACAGGUUGUGAACUCGAAAAGAGUAGGGCGGGACACGUGGUAUCCUGUCUGAAUAUGGGGGACCAUCCUCCAAGGCUAAAUACUCCUGACUGACCGAUAGUGAACCAGUACCGUGAGGGAAAGGCGAAAAGAACCCCGGCGAGGGAGUGAAAAAGAACCUGAAACCGUGUACGUACAAGCAGUGGGAGCACCUUCGUGGUGUGACUGCGUACCUUUUGUAUAAUGGGUCAGCGACUUAUAUUCUGUAGCAAGGUUAACCGUAUAGGGGAGCCGAAGGGAAACCGAGUCUUAACUGGGCGUUAAGUUGCAGGGUAUAGACCCGAAACCCGGUGAUCUAGCCAUGGGCAGGUUGAAGGUUGGGUAACACUAACUGGAGGACCGAACCGACUAAUGUUGAAAAAUUAGCGGAUGACUUGUGGCUGGGGGUGAAAGGCCAAUCAAACCGGGAGAUAGCUGGUUCUCCCCGAAAGCUAUUUAGGUAGCGCCUCGUGAACUCAUCUUCGGGGGUAGAGCACUGUUUCGGCUAGGGGGCCAUCCCGGCUUACCAACCCGAUGCAAACUACGAAUACCGAAGAAUGUUAUCACGGGAGACACACGGCGGGUGCUAACGUCCGUCGUGAAGAGGGAAACAACCCAGACCGCCAGCUAAGGUCCCAAAGUCAUGGUUAAGUGGGAAACGAUGUGGGAAGGCACAGACAGCCAGGAUGUUGGCUUAGAAGCAGCCAUCAUUUAAAGAAAGCGUAAUAGCUCACUGGUCGAGUCGGCCUGCGCGGAAGAUGUAACGGGGCUAAACCAUGCACCGAAGCUGCGGCAGCGACACUUAUGUGUUGUUGGGUAGGGAGCGUUCUGUAAGCCGUUGAAGGUGUGCUGUGAGGCAUGCUGGAGGUAUCAGAAGUGCGAAUGCUGACAUAAGUAACGAUAAAGCGGGUGAAAAGCCCGCUCGCCGGAAGACCAAGGGUUCCUGUCCAACGUUAAUCGGGGCAGGGUGAGUCGACCCUAAGGCGAGGCCGAAAGGCGUAGUCGAUGGGAAACAGGUUAAUAUUCCUGUACUUGGUGUUACUGCGAAGGGGGACGGAGAAGGCUAUGUUAGCCGGGCGACGGUUGUCCCGGUUUAAGCAUGUAGGCGGAGGUUCGAGUAAAUCCGGUACCUUAUUAACGCUGAGGUGUGAUGACGAGGCACUACGGUGCUGAAGUAACAAAUGCCCUGCUUCGGGGAAAAGCCUCUAAGCAUCAGGUAACAUCAAAUCGUACCCCAAACCGACACAGGUGGUCAGGUAGAGAAUACCAAGGCGCUUGAGAGAACUCGGGUGAAGGAACUAGGCAAAAUGGUGCCGUAACUUCGGGAGAAGGCACGCUGAUAUGUAGGUGAAGCCCCUGCGGGUGGAGCUGAAAUCAGUCGAAGAUACCAGCUGGCUGCAACUGUUUAUUAAAAACACAGCACUGUGCAAACACGAAAGUGGACGUAUACGGUGUGACGCCUGCCCGGUGCCGGAAGGUUAAUUGAUGGGGUUAGCGGCAACGCGAAGCUCUUGAUCGAAGCCCCGGUAAACGGCGGCCGUAACUAUAACGGUCCUAAGGUAGCGAAAUUCCUUGUCGGGUAAGUUCCGACCUGCACGAAUGGCGUAAUGAUGGCGAGGCUGUCUCCACCCGAGACUCAGUGAAAUUGAACUCGCUGUGAAGAUGCAGUGUACCCGCGGCAAGACGGAAAGACCCCGUGAACCUUUACUAUAGCUUGACACUGAACACUGGUCCUUGAUGUGUAGGAUAGGUGGGAGGCUUUGAAGCGUGGACGCCAGUCUGCGUGGAGCCGUCCUUGAAAUACCACCCUUUAAUGGCUGGUGUUCUAACGUAGACCCGUAAUCCGGGUUGCGGACAGUGUCUGGUGGGUAGUUUGACUGGGGCGGUCUCCUCCCAAAGAGUAACGGAGGAGCACGAAGGUUAGCUAAUCCUGGUCGGACAUCAGGAGGUUAGUGCAAUGGCAUAAGCUAGCUUGACUGCGAGAGUGACGGCUCGAGCAGGUGCAAAAGCAGGUCAUAGUGAUCCGGUGGUUCUGAAUGGAAGGGCCAUCGCUCAACGGAUAAAAGGUACUCCGGGGAUAACAGGCUGAUACCGCCCAAGAGUUCAUAUCGACGGCGGUGUUUGGCACCUCGAUGUCGGCUCAUCACAUCCUGGGGCUGAAGUAGGUCCCAAGGGUAUGGCUGUUCGCCAUUUAAAGUGGUACGCGAGCUGGGUUUAGAACGUCGUGAGACAGUUCGGUCCCUAUCUGCCGUGGGCGCUGGAGAAUUGAGGGGCUGCUCCUAGUACGAGAGGACCGGAGUGGACGCAUCACUGGUGUUCGGGUUGUCAUGCCAAUGGCACUGCCCGGUAGCUAAAUGCGGAAAAGAUAAGUGCUGAAAGCAUCUAAGCACGAAACUUGCCCCGAGAUGAGUUCUCCCUGAGACUUUAAGUCUCCUGAAGGAACGUUGAAGACGACGACGUUGAUAGGUCGGGUGUGUAAGCGCAGCGAUGCGUUGAGCUAACCGAUACUAAUGAACCGUGAGGCUUAACCUUACAACGCCGAAG
rnacentral:rRNA from 1 species